AUGAGGAAGCGGUCGCUGCCUCGCUGCUACGAAUUCCUCCUCGGCAAAGACCGCGCCCGGUGGCCGCCGGAGGCCAGGCUCAUGGAAGCCGCCCACGACGGCGACGUCCUCGAGAUCAAGAAGGUUGCAAAGGAGCUGGACAAGCACGGGCAUGGGAUCCCCGCGACAGUGGCCAACACGACCUUCCAUGGCGUGAACGCGCUGCACGCUGCCAGUGGCCUUGGCAGGCUGCCGGUCUACCAGUAUCUCAUCGAGGAGGUCAAUAUGGUGGAGAUCGACAAGCCUGAUGCCCAGGGCCAUACACCGGUGGAGCAUGCCCUCACCGAAGGCCACCUUCCUGCCGUCAGGUACCUUCUUGAUCGUGGAGCUGAUCUGCAUCAGCGCCAUAAAGAUGGAACCAUGUCUACUCUUCUUCAUUCAGCUGCAGCUCUUGGGCACUCUGAAAUAGUAAAGUUUCUUCUUUCUAGAGAGGCUGAUAUUGAUGCUCUAUCAUUUUUUGGGACACCACUCUCUGUUGCUGCUCUUAGAGGACAUGCUAGCACGGUCAAGAUCCUUUUGCAGCACAAUGCAGAUCCUAACAAGGGUACUCGUCGGUAUGGACCUUUAGGGAUGGCAAUAGGUAUAUCAUCUGUGUCCUGUGUGAAGCUAUUGAUUCAGGGUGGAGCUAAUGUGAGCGGCGGUAGUCCUUGUGAUAUUCCUUUGGUUGCGGCUGCAGAAAAGGGCUUAACUGAAGUUAUUAAGUGCCUGUUGGAAGCUGGUGCAAAUCCAAAUGUCCCUGACACGUUUGGUAGAUUGCCAAUAGAGUUGGCUGCUGAAUAUGGCACACAGGAAGAUGUUGAGAUUCUCUUUCCUUUCACCUCUCCCAUUCCAACUGUGACAAAUUGGAGCGUUGAUGGAAUCAUUAGUCAUGUGGAGAUGGAAAUCAAACAGCUUGGGGAUGACAAUUUUGUGAAAAAGAGGGUGUCUGACCUGAAACAACAAGCAGAUGAAGCAUUUAGGAAGCAGGAUUAUCUGAAUGCAUCAGUGUUCUACACGCAGGCACUGAGGAUGGAUAACUUCGACGCUAGAUUGUUGUCAAACCGGAGUCUUUGCUGGGCUCGCAUGGGUCAUGGAGAAUGGGCUUAUGAUGAUGCAGAUAAAUGCCAGGAGCUUUGCCCAAAGUGGGCCAAGUCACACUAUCGGCUUGGAGUAGCUCUUAUGUGUAUGAAGGAAUAUGACGGUGCUCAUCACUCCCUCUCGCGCGCUUUACAGCUGGAUCCGGAAAGCCAAGAGAUUAUGAAAUUACUCUUGGAGGUGAUUGAACUGAAGUGA
rnacentral:rRNA from 1 species